rnacentral:rRNA from 1 species
AUUGAACGCUGGCGGUAUGCUUAACACAUGCAAGUCGAACGGCAGCAUGGUCUAGCGUGCUAGACUGAUGGUGAGUGGCGGACGGGUGAGUAACGCGUAGGAAGAUGCCUUGAAGAGUGGGACAACUUGGGGAAACUCAAGCUAAUACCGCAUGUACUCGAGAGAGUAAAGCUGGGGACCUUGAGGUCUGGCGCUUUAAGAUUAGCCUGCGUCCGAGUAGCUAGUUGGUAGGGUAAAGGCAUACCAAGGCGACGAUCGGUAGCUGGUCUGAGAGGAUGAUCAGCCACACUGGAACUGAGAGACGGUCCAGACUCCUACGGGAGGCAGCAGUGGGGAAUAUUGGACAAUGGGGGGAACCCUGAUCCAGCAAUGCCGCGUGUGUGAAGAAGGCCUGAGGGUUGUAAAGCACUUUCAGUGGGGAGGAGGUUUGGAAGGUUAAGAGCUAUUCGAAUGGACGUUACCCACAGAAGAAGCACCGGCUAACUCCGUGCCAGCAGCCGCGGUAA